ensembl:lncRNA
GAAAUAAUGUGUUCAAUGUACUUCUUAUCACAUUAUUGGAAGUUGUUGUAAACGAACCUCCUGCUUUUUCUUCAUUGUUGCUGCUGCUGCUGCUACUAAGUCGCUCCAGUCGUGUCUGACUCUGUGCGACCCCAUAGACGGCAGCCCACCAAGUUCCCCUGUCUCUGGGAUUCUCCAGGCAAGAACACUGAAGUGGGUUGCCAUUUCCUUCUCCAAUGCAUAAAAGUGAAAAGUGAAAGUGAAGUCUCUCAGUCAUGUCCGACUCUUAGCGGCCCCAUGCACUGCAGCCCACCAGGCUCCUCUGCCCAUGGGAUUUUCCAGGCAAGAGUGCUGGAGUGGGUUGCCAUUGCCUUCUCCGUUUCUUCAUUGUUUAGCGAACUUAAUUCUAAGGAAUUGCUCUCAGAACUUCUGCUACUAAAGAACAAGAGAAAUUGGUAGCAAAAUGGAGGCAGAAUUUCUGAUGUUUUGCUCUUGAUUUCACCAACUUAAGUGUAAUUCAAGAGUCCUCUUGUCAGAACGGUAUAAUUAACAAUUAAAACUUGAGUUAAGUCAAAUUGCC